AUUGAACGCUGGCGGCAUGCCUUACACAUGCAAGUCGAACGGCAGCACGGGUGCUUGCACCUGGUGGCGAGUGGCGAACGGGUGAGUAAUACAUCGGAACAUGUCCUGUAGUGGGGGAUAGCCCGGCGAAAGCCGGAUUAAUACCGCAUACGAUCCACGGAUGAAAGCGGGGGACCUUCGGGCCUCGCGCCAUAGGGUUGGCCGAUGGCUGAUUAGCUAGUUGGUGGGGUAAAGGCCUACCAAGGCGACGAUCAGUAGCUGGUCUGAGAGGACGACCAGCCACACUGGGACUGAGACACGGCCCAGACUCCUACGGGAGGCAGCAGUGGGGAAUUUUGGACAAUGGGCGAAAGCCUGAUCCAGCAAUGCCGCGUGUGUGAAGAAGGCCUUCGGGUUGUAAAGCACUUUUGUCCGGGAAGAAAUCCUUGGCCCUAAUACGGUCGGGGGAUGACGGUACCGGAAGAAUAAGCACCGGCUAACUACGUG
rnacentral:rRNA from 1 species